UGGGGAAUAUUGGACAAUGGGCGCAAGCCUGAUCCAGCCAUGCCGCGUGAGUGAUGAAGGCCCUAGGGUUGUAAAGCUCUUUCGCCAGGGACGAUAAUGACGGUACCUGGAUAAGAAGCCCCGGCUAACUUCGUGCCAGCAGCCGCGGUAAUACGAAGGGGGCUAGCGUUGUUCGGAAUCACUGGGCGUAAAGCGCACGUAGGCGGAUCUUUAAGUCAGGGGUGAAAUCCCGAGGCUCAACCUCGGAACUGCCUUUGAUACUGGAGGUCUCGAGUCCGGGAGAGGUGAGUGGAACUGCGAGUGUAGAGGUGAAAUUCGUAGAUAUUCGCAAGAACACCAGUGGCGAAGGCGGCUCACUGGCCCGGUACUGACGCUGAGGUGCGAAAGCGUGGGGAGCAAAACAGGAUUAGAUACCCUGGUAGUCCACGCCGUAAACUAUGGAUGCUAGCCGUUGGGCAGCUUGCUGUUCAGUGGCGCAGCUAACGCUUUUAAGCAUCCCGCCUGGGGAGUACGGUCGCAAGAUUAAAACUCAAAUGAAUUGACGGGGUCAUAGCUGUUUCCU
rnacentral:rRNA from 1 species